CAGAUAAGUGGUGUAAUCUUAGCACAAUUGAUUUUCAUUCAAUCAGUAUGUUUAUUCAUCUAUCUGA
rnacentral:tRNA from 1 species